rnacentral:rRNA from 1 species
UACGGAGGGUGCGAGCGUUAAUCGGAAUUACUGGGCGUAAAGGGCGCGUAGGUGGUUGUAUAAGUUAGCUGUGAAAUUCCUGGGCUUAACCUAGGAUGGUCAGCUAAUACUGUAUAGCUUGAGUAUGGGAGAGGGUAGUGGAAUUUCCGGUGUAGCGGUGAAAUGCGUAGAGAUCGGAAGGAACACCAGUGGCGAAGGCGGCUACCUGGCCUAGCACCGACGUUCAGGCACGAAAGCGUGGGGAGCAAACAGG